rnacentral:lncRNA from 1 species
AUAAUAUUACUAACAAUAUUAUAUUAUUAUCAUAUUAGAUAUUAUGUUUCUUUGAGUGCUUUGCAGAUCUUCCGCUACAAUCUGCAUUAAUCGAAAAGAGGCUAUUAACCCUCCCUCUAGCCUCGGAUCACGAUCCAACAGAAGCAGGAGCCGGCGGAAGAGGCAGUAGGAGAUAUCCUGACAAUAGAGGGAGGAGACGCGUCACGCGGCGCAGACCCAUGGAAGGGACGCCGAUACGCCCCGGACGUCGACCGAACGACCAGGGAAAAACGCCUGUGGCUGAGUCCGAAGAUUACGUUUACGGAAGAAGACAUGAAAGAUGUCACCACCCCCCACGACAACCCGUUGGUAAUAACCCCCGUUUUUCGAAAGGGCGAUCACACCAACGUGCGGUUGCACAGGGUACUGGUCGACACGGGGGCGUCAAUGGACGUAUUGUAUUGGAACGCCUUCAUCGAC